ACGCAAGUGUGAAACUUGAAGGAAUUGACGGAAGGGCACCACAAGAACGCGUGGAGCAUGUGGCUUAAUUUGACCCAACGCGGGAAAUCUUACCGGGUCCGGACACACUGAGGAUUGACAGGCAAUAUUAGCAAGAACUAAACUUGUUUAGUUUCUUGUUAUGUUAAAUAUGCUAGUCCUUUCAUGAUUAUGUGAUAGGUGGUGCAUGGCCGUUCUUAGUUCGUGGAGUGAUCUGUCUGCUUAAUUGCGUUUCACUAAGGGCCUAUAAUUUAACGUGUGUUGCGGCACUUUGACCCCUCUUCGGAGCGCGUGUCUUAGUUUGUUUAGCUCACACAAUUAGGUCCUGAAAGCAACGAACGUGACCG
rnacentral:rRNA from 1 species